UGUAAUAACCUGCCAAAAGAAGCUACGAACCUUCAUCAGUGUUGUGGGUCUAGGCAAAGUCUUCACUACCUUAGUCUCUUGUGUAUCCACUCGGAUGUCUUUACCCGAAAUAAUAUUCCCAAGGAAAGUUACAGAGUUCAACCAGAAUUUAUACUUUAGGAAAAUUUUGCAUACAACUUCCCUUCUUGUAGAAUUCUGAGCACAAUACGCAGAUGAUCUACAUGCUCAGCCUCUGAAUGAGAAUAUACCAAUAUAUCAUCAAUAAAUACAAUUACGAAUAGAUCUAAAAAAAGGCCUGAACACACGGUUCAUCAAAUCCAUGAAUACUGUUGGGCCAUUGGUCAGACCAAACGACAUAACCCAAAACUCAAAGUGCCCAUAUCUAGUCCUGAAUGCAGUCUUCGGAAUAUCUUCAUCCUUAACCCUUACCUGAUGGUACCCAGACCUCAAGUCUAUCUUUGGAAAACACUUGGCACCUUGUAGCUGAUCAAAUAGAUCAUCAAUUCUCGGGAGCGGGUACUUAUUCUUGAUCGUCACCUUAUUUAGUUGCAUAUAAUCAAUACACAUUCGUAAGGAACCAUCUUUCUUUCUCAUAAACAACAUAGGUGCUCCCCGUGGUGACGUACUAGGUCUGAUAAAACCUUUUUCAAUCAAGUCCCAUAGUUGUUCCUUUAACCUUUUUCAGCUCUGCGGGGGCCAUUCUAUAGGGGUAUAGAUAUUGGAUGAGUAUCUGGUAGUAGGUCGAUGACAAACUCAAUUUAUCGCUCUUGCAGAAGACCCGGAAGCUCAUUAGGAAAAAUAUCGGGAAACUCAUUCACCACAGGGAUGGACUAAAUGGUUGGUAACUCUACUUCCAUAUCCUGAACCCGAACUAAAUGAUAAAUACAACCCUUAUUAAUCAUCUUCCGUACCAUCUCCUUUGGCGAAGAUUCAAUUCCUUUUGUUUGAAGAUGUACUGGAGGCUCUUAUGAUCCAUAUAGAUAUCAACAUGAAUGCCAUACAAUUAGUGACUCCACAUCUUUAGUGCAUUAAUCACCACAGCUAACUCUAAAUCGUAGGUCGAGAAGUUCUUCUCGUGCUUUCUUAGUUGUCUAGAAGCAUAAGCCACAACCUUACCAUGCUGCAUCAGCACACAACCCAAUCCAGUGCUUGAAGCAUCGCAAUAGAUAACAUAACCAUCGGUCCCAUCUAGAAGCGUUAUAACUGGUGCUGAAGUUAACUUGUCCUCUAAGUCCUGGUAAACUCCGUUCGCAAGCAUUGGUCCAUUGAAAACUAACUCCCUUCUGAGUUAACUUACAUGGUUAUCCUAAUCUUGUAUAAUUCAGGAAAUUUCACUCUUCGGAGGCCCAAACUUCAUCUUCUAUUCCUCACAAUUGCGCCAGUAUCCUAUUAUUAGGGCAACAUUUCAUCUAUUCUAAACGUUAUUAGUCUUAGACUCAUUUGGGUUUAUUCAGGCUAUACUGAGCCUUCUAUAACUUAGAGGAAUCAUCAACUCUCUUAUGAACUUAUUCCCAAGAACCUAUCCAUUCUUGUCACCUUUUUACUCAUCUUUUCUUAUCCUUCCUCCUGCCUUCCUAGAACCUUGUCGCUCUACCAUACUUUAGCUUGCGAUUGUCGCGCCCCCUUUUUCUCGCGAAAUCAAGUUUAUGACAUUUUGGUUCGGACAACUCUUCCUUUUAGAAAGGGGGUUUUCAUUUUUGAAGAGUCGCUACCUAACGAUUUAAAGUGCGUUUGGGCACCUAUAAGGUUUAUUUAUAACUACGUUUGGUAACUAGAGAUCGGGUAAGGGCUUGAAAUUAUCCUAAGGGGAAGGUGUUAGGCACCCCUUUGGAUCCACUAGUGUGGUUCCCGGCCAAACAGUUUUUGUGAAUUUGUACAAUUAGCAAAUAAACAAGUGUGGCUCAAAUAGUAGGGGAUUUAAGUUUAAAUACACAGGUGUUUGAAAAACAAUUAAUGAAAAGCAAGAUUUUUGAAAAGAAUUACAAUCUAAGCAUAUUUGGGAAUGUAAGGGGGUAUCAUAGGUUUGUUUAUAAUAUGGAUCAGUUCAAUGCAGUACCCGGUAUGACACUCCUCAAAGAGGGGCUACAUGUGGUAUUAACGCACCGGUCAUCAUAUCCAUAUAUAAAACAGGCUCUCCUGGGGACUGAAAUUAAACCAUCAUUAACCUACACUUGAUGUUAGCAUAACAAAAGGCCAACCAAUCCAUACCCAUUANNNNNNNNNNNNNNNNNNNNNNNNNNNNNNNNNNNNNNNNNNNNNNNNNNNNNNNNNNNNNNNNNNNNNNNNNNNNNNNNNNNNNNNNNNNNNNNNNNNNNNNNNNNNNNNNNNNNNNNNNNNNNNNNNNNNNNNNNNNNNNNNNNNNNNNNNNNNNNNNNNNNNNNNNNNNNNNNNNNNNNNNNNNNNNNNNNNNNNNNNNNNNNNNNNNNNNNNNNNNNNNNNNNNNNNNNNNNNNNNNNNNNNNNNNNNNNNNNNNNNNNNNNNNNNNNNNNNNNNNNNNNNNNNNNNNNNNNNNNNNNNNNNNNNNNNNNNNNNNNNNNNNNNNNNNNNNNNNNNNNNNNNNNNNNNNNNNNNNNNNNNNNNNNNNNNNNNNNNNNNNNNNNNNNNNNNNNNNNNNNNNNNNNNNNNNNNNNNNNNNNNNNNNNNNNNNNNNNNNNNNNNNNNNNNNNNNNNNNNNNNNNNNNNNNNNNNNNNNNNNNNNNNNNNNNNNNNNNNNNNNNNNNNNNNNNNNNNNNNNNNNNNNNNNNNNNNNNNNNNNNNNNNNNNNNNNNNNNNNNNNNNNNNNNNNNNNNNNNNNNNNNNNNNNNNNNNNNNNNNNNNNNNNNNNNNNNNNNNNNNNNNNNNNNNNNNNNNNNNNNNNNNNNNNNNNNNNNNNNNNNNNNNNNNNNNNNNNNNNNNNNNNNNNNNNNNNNNNNNNNNNNNNNNNNNNNNNNNNNNNNNNNNNNNNNNNNNNNNNNNNNNNNNNNNNNNNNNNNNNNNNNNNNNNNNNNNNNNNNNNNNNNNNNNNNNNNNNNNNNNNNNNNNNNNNNNNNNNNNNNNNNNNNNNNNNNNNNNNNNNNNNNNNNNNNNNNNNNNNNNNNNNNNNNNNNNNNNNNNNNNNNNNNNNNNNNNNNNNNNNNNNNNNNNNNNNNNNNNNNNNNNNNNNNNNNNNNNNNNNNNNNNNNNNNNNNNNNNNNNNNNNNNNNNNNNNNNNNNNNNNNNNNNNNNNNNNNNNNNNNNNNNNNNNNNNNNNNNNNNNNNNNNNNNNNNNNNNNNNNNNNNNNNNNNNNNNNNNNNNNNNNNNNNNNNNNNNNNNNNNNNNNNNNNNNNNNNNNNNNNNNNNNNNNNNNNNNNNNNNNNNNNNNNNNNNNNNNNNNNNNNNNNNNNNNNNNNNNNNNNNNNNNNNNNNNNNNNNNNNNNNNNNNNNNNNNNNNNNNNNNNNNNNNNNNNNNNNNNNNNNNNNNNNNNNNNNNNNNNNNNNNNNNNNNNNNNNNNNNNNNNNNNNNNNNNNNNNNNNNNNNNNNNNNNNNNNNNNNAUGCUUGCGACUGUAGUCUUUAUAGGCAUCGCUAAAAAUGUAACACAUCGUUAGGAAUACGAAUGCUUAUAUUGCAUGAUCUAAGAUAAGAAGAGAGGAUACCAUCCUAUAUGUCUUGUAGCCUCCUAUUUAUAAGUGUGGUGCACAACACAACCAUAAAUAAGACUCUACUAGACAUGGUAUGUAGACAACCCUAGGACAAAACUGCUCUGAUACUACUUUUGUCACGACCCAAACCGAUGAGUCGUGAUGGGUGCCUGACUCCUACAUGUCAAACACCCCUAAGCAUGCGUCUAAGAUAUGAACCUGAAUAACAUUUGCUACAUUACGAAAAUAACAUAUGUGAGAAACCUGCCAUCAAAGCAUAUGUACGUAUACAGACAAAAUACAGUGGGCGAGCCGGUAAGGCUGCUAUAGACAACUAUACAUCCAUAACUGAAAGUCAUCAAGGCCAUAUGCAACCCAACUAGACAUACUGUCUACAGACCUCUAAUGGAAUCAUAAUUGUACAAAGACGGGACUAAGUCACGUCAUACCUAUAUAUAUAUAUAUAUAUAUAUAUAUAUAUAUAUAAAUGUAUCAUGUAUAUAUAUAUAUACACAAACGUAUCAUACCAAACUCAAAAGCAGCUCUGGAUCAAGUGGAGCACGCCAACUUUCGCUGAUCAGGGAUCCUAAGAAGGGGACUGUCAGCUUGCCUACCUGCACCUGCGGGCAUGAAACGUAGGCCCCGUGAAAUAGAGCAUCAGUACAAAAAAUAUAUUGAGUAUGUAAGGCAUGAAAAUAAGUACGUAAAAGACAUAGAUGAAACAUGGAAUACAGAAAUACCUUUAAAUCUGAAUAACUCUGUAAUUUUUGAAACAUUUAUAAUAUCAUGCACAUGCGUAUAAAUGUCAUGCCAUGAAUAGGUAUGGUGUACAUAAUAUCAUCAAGCCACUGAGGGCAUCCCAUCAUAUCAUCUCGGCCACUGUGGGCAAUAUCAUCAACAUAUACUUGAUCGGGUGGUGGUACGUAUAUAACGCCAUAACCUCUUCCCAUAUCCCAUAUACAUAUACAUACAUAUAUACACGUAUAUAACACUGUUUGAAUCAUAUUCCAGUCACUAUGGAUAACAUCAUCAUCAUAUACCAACUGAUCAGGUGGUGGUACGUAUAUAACAUCGUAACCUUUUCCCAUAUCCCAUAAACAUAUAUUUACAUAUUUACGCGUAUAUAACGUCAUCUGGUCAUGGGUAAAAGCAUAUGUAUAAAUGAGUGAAAUGCAUGAAAAAUAAAUAAUAAUCUUGAUAUUCCUUCUGGAUAAACUUUUCCAACUGCGUAUUAUUCUGAGACCCAUGAACAGAAGAUAAUAAUAAUUCUCAUGGGGAAUCAAGAAUAUAGACAUCCCUAAUAUCUCUAUAAAUAGUGUAGUUUAUGGAAACUGUGUAUUUGCUCGUUUCUUCAGUAUAAUUUGGACCAUGCCAAAAAAAAGAAGGGAGGGCCUUAACAUACCUGUUCCCGGAAUGCUUGAACGGAUUGAAGUUUCUACUUCUCUGAAAUAUGUUGAACGAAAUUUGUGGUGCUUUUUUUGAAAUUUCAGUCGAAAUUCUUGAAUUGACUAAGUAAUUGAAUUGUUUGGACGAAAUAUUUGUUGUUUUCCAUGUUUUUGAUUUCAAGCCAAGCUAAUUUAGGCAAGAAUGGACGAAAAGUUUUCUGUUUCUACGUUCUUUGUUUCAAACUAAAAGCAGAUUAUUGUUUUAGGUUCUUUUACCAAGAAAUGACAUCAAGCCUUCAUGGAUAAUGGUUAAGGCUUACAAGAUUCAAGUCUUAUAUAAGACUUUAAGUUUUGGACUCUUUAAACUUAAGACACAUAUACAUAUAUUCAUGAAUCAUUCUUCCCAAUUAGUGGCCUUGUGCCACUUUUUUUUUUUGUAAUUGAUGAAAUUUUGUCCGCUUAUUAGUUAACUGGGUAAUGUUCUGUUACCCGGUAAUUAAUCAAUUACCGGCAUAAUUUAAAAAUUACCACAAAUUACUUAAAAUUCUAUAUAUUUUUAUAAUACUUCAUAUAUAUUUUAUAUAUUAUACUACCAUGGUCAUAUGGUACCUUGCAUGGUACCAGUUCAUAAUUAUCGGGUAUUGUCGCUCAACCCGCAUUUUAUUCCAAAUUGGCCACUUCCAACGAAACUCGUUUUCGUUAAUCAGUGUACCCUUUUAUCCUUCAUAACACAUAUUUAUCGCUUGUUAUAAAUAGCGUAAGUACGUUUACGUCAAGAUAUUCUCAUCCCCGAGUCUACGUCGGUUAACUAAAAGCAAAAUUUUAGCGUACGAAAACACGAGAUGUAACACAUUCAUAUGGGGACCACACACUCCUGCGUGCACUUCAUUCAUUAUUCUUCCGGCCUCUUGGGCGUCCAUACAUCUUAAAAGGUUCAGAUCUGGAGUCCUUUUGUACAAAACCUCGCCACUCAAGAAGAAACCACUAGUAAGCCUUCUAAUGGUUCUCUUUUGGUCUCCACUAGCUUGCUCGGGAUAUUCUUUUGUUUUCAAAAAUCUGUUGAUAUCAUGAUAACAUGGCUGAACAUUUGGUUCCACCUCAACCGUAUUGCAAUAACCAUGUCUUUCUCGAAUUUUGAUUUCCAACGGGUUAAUGUGGACAUUGACUAGAUAUGGCAACAUCAAGGCCAAAGUAGCGAGUGCAUCGGAUAACUCAUUGUGAAACCAAGGAAUGUACCUGAACUCAACUGACUUGAACCGCUUGCUAAGAUCUUCCACAUGUUGCCUAUAUAGAAUAAGCUUGACAUCCCAAGUUUCCCAGUUACCCUGAGCUUGUCGGAUAAUCAAGUCUGAAUCUCUCAUGAUUAACAAUUCUUCCACCUCUUGGUUGAUUGCCAUGUUCAUACCCAUAAUGCAGGCUUCAUACUCGACAGUGUUGUUGGUGCAGAAAAAUCGAAGUCGGGCUGUGGCCGGAUAGUGCUGACCAGUGGGUGAGAUCAAGAUUGGCCCUAUCCCCACAUAUUUUGCGUUCACAGCUCCAUCGAAGAACAUUUUCCAAGCAUUGGUGUCUUCUGAAAUUACCUCAACUGAAUUUACUUCCGCUAAGUGAUCCACUAAAGCUUGAGCUUUCAUUGUCGUGCGGGUGACAUAGACUAUGUCAAACUCGGUGAGCAGGAUUUUCCAUAUUGCUAACCUCCCCAUGGGCAUCGGCUUUUGGAAUAUGUACUUCAAAGGAUCCAACCUGGUGAUGAGAUAGGUGGUACAGGCCAACACGUAAUGCCUAAGCUUCUGAGCGACCCAUGUUAGGGCACAGCAAGUCCAUUCCAAAAAAGUGUACUUGGCUUCGUAACUAGUGAAUUUCUUGUUCAAAUAGUAUAUUGCAUGUUCUUUCUUCCCGGUCGCAUCAUGUUGCCCGAGAACGCACCCAAAGGAAUUCUCCAACACUGUCAAAUACAAAAACAAAAGCCUCCCAGGUUUGGGUGGGACUAAGACUGGCGGAUUCGACAAAUAUUCUUUGAUUUUGUCGAAGGCUUCUUGGCACUCAUCUGUCCAUUUAAUCACUGCAUCUUUCUUCAACAGUUUGAAUAUGGGCUCACAUGUGGAAGUCAACUAUGGACUUUAUAUUUGUUGGACCUAGCUCAAUGCCCCUCUGAUUGACUAUAAAUCCCAAGAGUUUCCCAGACGAAACUCCAAAUGCGCAUUUAGCUGGAUUUAACUUCAAGUUAUACUUAUGCAAAUGCUGAAAGAACUUUCUCAUAUCCCGAACAUGGUCAUCCUACGUUCUUGAUUUAAUGAUUACAUCGUCCACAUACACCUCAAUUUCUUGGUGCAUCAUGUCAUCAAAGAUGGCAGUCAUAGAUCUCAUGAAAUUUGCCCUGGCGUUCUUCAAACCAAAAGGCAUGACCCUAUAACAAUAGGUGCCCUAGUGUGUGGUGAAAGCUAUUUUUUCCGCGUCUUCUUCAUCCAUCAAGACUUGAUGAUAUCCAUCAAAACAAUCCACGAAAGACUGUAUCUCAUGUUUGGCAUAGUUGUCUACAAGGAUGUGGAUGUUUGGCAAAGGGAAGUUGUCUUUGGGACUUGCUUUGUUCAAAUCCCGAUAGUCAACACACACUGGGGUUUUCCCANNNNNNNNNNNNNNNNNNNNNNNNNUUGAUGAUAUCCAUCAAAACAAUCCACGAAAGACUUGUAUCUCAUGUUUGGCAUAGUUGUCUACAAGGAUUGUGGAUGUUUGGCAAAGGGAAGUUGUNUUUGGACUUGCUUUGUCAAAUCCCGAUAGUCAACACACACUGGGGUUUUCCCAUCUUUCUUUGGCACUGGAACCACAUUAGCCAACCACGUAGUGUAUUGGACCAUCCGGAUCACACCCGCUUUUAACUGUUUGGUGAUCUCUUCUUUGAUCUUGUCAGUGAUACCAGUAUUGAACUUCCUUUAUUUUUGCAGGACAGGGGGAUAAUCUGGGUAAGUUGGCAAUUUGUGUACCACUAAAUCAACACUUAGGCCUGUAAUAUCAUCAUAGGACCAAGCAAAUACAUCUUUGAAUUCUAACAAAAGUUGGAUCAAUGUGUCCCUAGUUCUUUCAUCAGUGUGAAUGCUUACCAUGGUUUCUUGGACCUAUUCUGAACUACCCAAGCUAACUGGCUCAGUUUCAUUUAGUUUUGGCUUAGGCUUAUUCUCAAAUUGUUCCAGUUCUCGGUUUAUUUCCCUAAAAGCCUCAUCUUCAUCGUAUUUUGGUUCUUGAUUCAUUAUUUCACAAUGAGAUAGCGCGUUAGGAUAUGGGCAUGAAAUCCACAAGCAUGUCAUGUUAUUUAAGUCCGCAUUAUUAGAACUGAAAGAAUAAAUAAGAAAAAUAACAAAAUUAGAAAGAAUAAAGAAAGAGAUUCAUAGACGAUGAAAUAUUGAUUUCAUUUCAUUGAAUUUGAAGAUAGAAGGGUUUACAUUGGAAUUUUAAUGAUAAUAAACUUAAAGAAAACAUUCGAGUUACACCCUAAAAUAACUCGGAAUGCAGAAAAGGUGGCAAGACUGGACUACUAGGAUUCCCGCCUGACUAGGAACGGAGUAGCCUUCCAAUUUUGCAGCUUGGCAUCGGGCCCCAUAAAUUACACCUCAGCAGUGCUCGAGCCUUCACUCGGGUGGACCAUGUGAGCUUCAUAAAACAUUUGCCUCAUGUCUCCAUAUAUGUCCUCAAUUUCCUCGGCCGUGAGGGCCUCAUCUUCUUUUGUUUCCAUGUACUUUGGCUUGAUGAAUGUUUUGGAGAGAUGCGGUACCGGCUAAGGCAACACCCAACCAUUUCUCUUUCGUUCAUUUGCCCAUGUCACAUCAGAUUCUCUGGCGUGAAAACCCACACCAAAGAACUUCUCACUGGUAGCUAAAGUAAUAGGCUCUGUGAUACCUUACAAAGAUACCCCGAGCCCCUUCCCAGGCUUAUAACCAUGCAUGAUCAUUUCAGUGGUGACCAUGAUUGACGCAUUUGGCAGAAAGGGUUGAGGACAUGGGCUUCCUUCCACACAUUGAUCUGCGACCACAACCUCAAAAGCUUGAUAGACUAUGUGCUCGCUACCUUCCCUAGCCUCGAGACAUGGGACUGAUGGGUCCUGGUAAAUUGAUUGCUCGUCUUCUCCAUUUACCACAAUUUUCUGAUCUUUGUGUUCAAACUUCACUAUUUGGUGGAGAGUAGAAGGUACGGCCCCUGCAGUAUGGAUCCAAGGCCUUCCUAAGAGAAAAAUAUAAGAGGUGUCCAUGUCCAAAACCUGAAACGUCACUUUGAAAUCCAUAGGACCGAUAGUCAAGAUCAAAUCAAUCUCCCAUAUUUUGUCUCUCUUGAUGCCAUCGAAAGAACGCACACAAACAUUGUUAGGCCUGAUUCUCUCAGUCCCAAUUUCCAUUGUUUGCAAAGUUAAGAGAGGGCAUAUGUCGACCCCAGAUCUGCCAUCCAGCAUAACUCUUUUCACAUAGUACCCUUCACACUUAACUGUCAGAUGAAGAUCUUUGUUGUGGGCAACCCCUUCUGGGGGCAAGUCAUUUCUACUAAAUGAAAUCCUGUUGACUUCGAAGAUCGUUCCGCCAUCCUUUCCAGUUUCUCAACAGUGGUUCCAAUCGGAACAUAUGCUUCAUUUCGGGUCUUUAUUAACACUCUCUGAUGCUCAUUCGAGCUUAUCAGUAGAGACAAGAGCGAGAACUGAGAGGGAGACUUCCAGAGUUUGUCAAUUACCUCGUAGUCUGCAAUUUUCAUUUUUCGGAAGAAUUCCUCUGCUUCUUCGACACUGACUGGCCUUUUAAGUAGAAAACGCAUCUGCUUGGCAUUGUUCACUUCUUCUAGAUUGAGGUACUUCCCAUAUGGGUUAGUUUUGUUUACUUCCCUCAUGAUUUAUUUCCCCUUGUACGUCACAAUUGCUUUGUUGUAGUUCCAGGGGACUGCAGUGGGGUCUUUCAUCGGCUUUUGUAGGGCACGGCUAAUGAUCACGGGCUCAUUCAUCCCAGGUGGAAUUAUUGGUCCCCGUGCCACAUAAGUCCCUUUGGGUACAUACAUAUUAGGUCUCUUGUUUAGCUCGAACCUUUUAGGAGGACUCAAUGUGAAUUGUUCUUUUUUGGAGUCCCGAGGAACAUAAAGAAUGGCAUCCUUAGGGGGUACUGCCCUUGUUUUAGUUUCCACCAUCUUUUCUACACUUUGAGGGGCGGAGUUACUCUUCUUCUCCCCCUUGUCUUGCUUUGUAACCACCCUUGGCUUCUUUGCAACAUCGGCGAUGGCAAUGAUGGCUUUCAGAGCUGGGUCAAACUAUUUAUCUUCACAAAUCAUCCCAAUAACUGGCCCGUUGUUGUGAGACGGUAAUGGGUUAUUAGUCACAUUGGGGAUCUCUUCAUAUUUCAGCACUAUCCGUUUUUACUCUAUUAGACUUUCGACCACCCUUUUAAGAGUCCAACAGUCUUUAGUUUCAUGCUCUUCUGCUCCUGAAUGGUAAGCACAUCGAGCACCGUGUCAGUAGGAGGGCGACUCUAGGCUUUGCCUGGUUUGGGGUACGGGUUGCAACAAACCCAUUUGGACCAGUUUAGGAAAAAGGCCAGAGUAUGAUUCACUAAUAGGUGUGAAGUUGGUUCUUCUGGGUGGCUCCCGAGAACAGGCAUUGUAAGGAAAAUUAUUUUGUGGGGGAUGGGGAUUAUAUGGAGCUUGGUGAGGGGGGUUAUUUCUAGGAAGUGGAGCUCGGUUUUGGUUAAACUGUUGUUGUGGCUGAGCAUAUUGCUGGUCAUUCAUCACCGCAUAAGGCUGAGGAGCUAAUGCAUAAGCCACAUCCUGGUAAGGAUAAUAAUGUUGCGGGGUGUUUGGAAGUAAGUAACCUCGGGGUUGACGGGGGUUUCUCAGGCUUGAAGCCACCAUCGCCACUUCUUCUUUCUUCUUUCUGUUUGUUACACCUCCUGACCCGCUCUAGAUUGCUUGGGGCGUAGCUCUUAUAGAAGACUAGCUCAAUAUGCGGCCUGUCUUCAUACCAUUUUCGACCAUCUCCCCAGUUUUGAUAUCCUCAAAAAAUGGCUUUCCCAUUGCAAACAUUAUAUUCUGGAAGUAAUCAGCCUCUUGGGCUUGUAGAAAAACACUAACCAUCUUAGUCUUAUCCAUCGAGGGCUUCACCCUGGCUGCUUGUUAGUUCCACUUAACAGCAUAUUCUCGGAAACUCUCCAAAGACUUCUUUUUGAGAUUAGAUAAGGUAUUUCUGUCUGGAGCUAUGUCUAUGUUGUACUGGAAUUGCCUGACGAAAUCUCGAUCCAAAUCAUCCCUUAUGUGCCAGCGAGACAUGUCUUGAUCCAUGUACCACUCGGAUGCAAUGCCAACUAGACUCUCUCCGAAAUAAGCCAUUAGGAGCUCUUCAUUUUCACCUGCCCCUCUCAAUUUAUUGCAAUACCUCUUGAGGUGGGCUAUAGGAUCCCCAUGCCCAUCAUACUUUUCGAACUUGGGGGUCUUGAAACCGAUGGGCAAAUGAACAUGCGGGAACAUACAUAAAUCAGUGUAGGAUAUGCUCUUUUGGCCACUUAAAUCUUGUAUAUUCUUAAGGCUUUGUUCCAUGCUUCUCAUUUCCUGAGUAAUUUCCUCUUGCUUGGGAUUCUUCGUAGCUUUCUCUUGUCCCGUGGUAAACUCAUACCGGGGUUGUUGAGGGUAAGAAUUGGUGGUGAAAUGGGCAGUAGAAAGGAUGGUACUUGGAAAGUAAAGGAUAAUGGAUCAAAGCUUGGCCUGGGAAAAGUUGGUUGUGCCGUAGCCGAGGUUGGUGGUGCAGUGAAUAUGUUAGAGGCCACUCCUAAAAUUAAUGCCUGGGGGCGAACCUCAGAAGGCAUUCCGGCGAAAUGGGCUGAGAUGGUGGGAUAUCUGAGUGGGGUGUUCGUGUAAUUUAUUGGGAUGUUUGAUGUUACACUUGAUCUGGGAAGUAGCUCAGGGAAACCAGGUAUUGCACUAGGCGGCUCUCUACCGUUGGACCAGGCAUCCCACAUUUCCAACAUUCGGAGGCGCAGUGCCCUAUUCUCUUCAGCAGUCGCCGAUUAUGAUGUUGGGAUAGUCGAUAACGGGAUAUCAUCUGGGAUGGGAAUUGUUUGUAGAUGACUAUCUGACGAUAUUUCGACACUUCUCUUGGAUCUUGUAAAGUAAGGGCGCGAAGCCAGGUUACCACAAACGAACCACCUUAAAAACACAACCUAAACUCACAACAGACACAACAAAAUGGUUAGUUCGAGGCAACUAACACAUAGGGAAUCGCACAUUGGGGGUGUGAUGCACAUAUACAGUUAAAUGUGUUUCUAUAUGUUUUGCAACGAAUGCAUGUCUCAUCCCGACUUUUGUUUAUCUCCCUGAUCUUUUGUCGUGCUCUCUUUUGCACUCUCUUGCUUUUCUCUCUUGUUCUCAUUCUCUUUUUCUUGUUUUCUCUCUUUUCUUCUUUGCUUUUUCCUUUUGGUUUUCUCUUUUCAUCAUUUUCUCUUUUAUUUGAAUUAUUUAUAACCAUGACCGGAUCUGAUGGGGAUUGCCUACGUAUCACGACAUCGCAUGAAUUAGAUCAUCACGUAGUUCAAAAGAUUAAUGUGGAAUAAACAAAUUUUGGUUUUUUUUUCAAAUUUUCAUUAAAACAAAAACUUCUAUUACAAAGACUCGAUCAUACAUACUUAAGACUUGAAAAAUUAAAAUAGACUCAAAACAGACUCUAGUAAUGAAAAUAUAGACUCGAAAGGAGAAAGGAAAACAAUCAGGAGUACAUAAGUGCCUCCAAUCCACCCCUAGGGACACCAAUUGGUCUUGUCGUGGGCCUACGUGCCAUGUCUUCUUGGAGGUGAUAGAGGUCAUCCAUUAUCUGGUGAACAAAGAUCAUUACUGUGGUGAAGAACAUGGACCUGGUCAUGUCCUCACACUCGUUGCACUAUAUCACAAUGUGUCGGCGAUUCUUCUAACCCUUUCGCUGAUGAUGCCCUUUUCUUGUAACAACCACCCAAUCUGCUGAGAUCUAGCCUCCAAAACAUGGGUGACCACAUGAUUCUGUUCUUGCAAAUGUUGUAGGUCCUCCUCUAGCUGUGCCAUCAAAGCGUAACAAUGUUAUCUCUCGGCUUUCAAGCUCUUGGAUUGUUUAGUCAUUUAACCCUCAAGGCUAUUAAGCUCCUUUUUCAAGCCCAUGCCCCUUAUGUCAUAUCUUUCCUUCAACUGUCGAAAAAAAAUUGCCCGUUCUUCUGCAUUUUUGGCCAACUUUGUUCAGGCUUUUGCUAGCUCAGCCUCAGACCUUUGCAAAUCAUCCUCAUAGUCACGUACUUUUUACGUAAGGCUGUAGAUGAGCUUUUCAUAUUUUCUGCUUCUGCCCGAGGUCUCAGCUACUAUUCUCAUCUUUCAAACUUGGGCCUGGAGAGCUUCAUUUUCUUUGGCUAACCUUCUUCUUUCACCUUCAGCUUCUUGUUCAUGUAGAUCAUUAUUGAAUACGAUGUUCCUCAAUUCUUCUUGCAAAGCGUGAAUGGUGGCUUGAUAUUUUUUAUCCUUCUCUCCCCAGACCAACCUUUCUCGGAUUUUAUCAUCAAAAUCUUGAACAUGAGGUCUUUUGGCGGGCCUUUUAGGCUCAGGCUCUGGCUCAUCAUUCGCACAAAACCUUCUCUCAAACCACACAGCAUAAUUUGGAUCCACUUCUCCUCUCGCAAGAUCUGGUACCUAGGUGUCACUUUUUAGAUAUCGGCAACCAUUCCAAUCCUUUUGGACUAAAGCCUCAGGUAGUGUUGCUUAUGGGUGUAGCUCAAUGACUUGGGUACUCAAAUCUACCUCUUCGGGUACCACUUGAUAUCUUCCCAGUUGCCUUAGAACUCUUUGCUGUGCAUAUAGUUGGAUACUCCUCAGGCCCAUCAUCAUCAAGUAGCCUUUUGAAGCUGUCAUAUAUAUGACUUCCGUUACCGGAAGCCAUCCUAUGGUCCAUUCACUUUGACUUGCUUUCAGAGUUCUUAAAUGGGAGACCCAGGCCCCAAACCCUUCUGGAGAUUUGUAGUUUUCACCCUUUCCUCAUAAUUCUUGAUAAAGUUGUUCCUGUUCGAACCAUAACUCAUGAACUUGGGGUGACGGCAGAGAUGUUCGAUCAACCACAUUUGAACCCUCAAAGAAUUGAGCCCCAGAUUUACACAAGGUUAAUGCUCGAUAAAUGUCCACCAGCACUAACGGAACAAGUGUGUGAUCUUUAUUGGAAGUGAAUAUUUGUGCAAUUCUGGCCAUACGAGUAUCUAUUGUCCCUUCUACAUUGGGAAAGACCAUGAUUCCCAGAAACGCCAUAAUGAAAGCAAACUGACGAUGAAUAUGUCAGGUGCUCUUAUCUUGUUCGUUGUUUAAUCCCUUUUCAUGCAUUUCAAACCCAGCUGAGUGCCCGAACCUGAAGUAUAAGAAGUAGAGAGAACAACAUCCCUUGUUUGCAUGGGCCUUCUUCAUUUGCUUACUUAUAUUCAGAAGAUCAAAGAACUUGUGCCCAAAGGGAGCCCUCGGGAAUAUAAGUUAAUGUUUCCUCAUGUCCUAGCCAAAGUCAAUGUAUCCGGCCAUUUCCUCUAGAGUAGGGGUGAGCUCGAAAUUCGAGAAAUGGAACACGUUGUGGACAGGAUCCCAAAAGGUUACCAAAUUUUUGAUUAGAUCCUCCUGGGGUUCGAUGCUCAUGAUGUCUAUAAGGGAACCCAGCUACACUUUUACCCAAUCCUGGCCAUCUUUAUCUUAAUCAUUCCACCACAUGUGGAGCUGCAGUUGAGCCUGUUCUAUGACCAAUUAUGACGGGUUCUAGACAGUAUUCAUUUGUACCUAUGGAGGGUUAAGGUUAGGGUUGACUCUGGUGGACUCUUUUUGCAAAACAAGUUUUUAAUUUCUAAAAGAAAAUCAACGGACAAUGACCCCCCUUAUGCUACUUUAGCAAAAAUGGUCAUUUUGUAAACGUGGCCUCUUCGCAAUUCCAAACAAAUUUUGAGGCCGGGGGAAGGUAUUUUAUGGAAAAAGACACCUUACAUAUAGACUUGCCCAUUCUUCACGAAAAAUAGCCUUUCGACAAUUGGAAGAUAAUCUAAGGCUAUCCCGGCAAGGACGAGUUAAAAUACAACCGAAGCUGGGUCGGCUUAUUCUUUUGACCAAAGCCCUAAACUACACUUUAGUUGAUUAUUUUUGUAAAAAAAAUGAGGCCGAACCUUAUGUGGGUUGCCUACGUAUCCCACAUCCGGUGAGAAUCAGACAUGCGUAGUUCGGUCAAUUUUGACAUAAAAACAUAAUUGUUGGCUCACUUUUUUUAAAAUACAUUUUCCUUUUUCCCUUUUUUCAAAAAGUUUGGCUGAGUUUUGAGACCUUUUCAAAUAUUGGGAUUUUCAGAACCGGGUGAAUUCUCUAUCCUACUUCACUCUUGGUUUUUCUCUUUAUUUCCUUUUCCUAACCGGUCAAUAUGCAAGCCGAAACAAAUAAAUAUUCACAUAGCACAUAGGAUGCAUCAGGAUGGUCUUUAUUUUGGGUACACCUGUGCUAGACGGACCUAACCCCUGUGUUGAGUCCCCAAGGUCUAAUGCACGUGAUGCAAAUAAACGUUCCUACUAGGGAUCCAGCAUGAGGUUAUGUUAUUCUAAGUGUAAACCUAGGGUGUUGUUCUAGACCUGGCUUACUCGAGCGGACAAACUCGAGUCGAGGAGGGGGCAAUGAACCAGGAGCACGAAAGUCUGCCCGACCUUGUUGCUUGUCCAGCCCCGUUCUAUUUGGUAUAACUCUAACAGAAAAGUGGGUCAUGCGAACGUGAGCACCGUUUUUUUAGAAGACUCAGAAGGGAGGCGUAAGAAUACAGUUCAAGUAAUAUCAAAGCGGUAAAUGGCAAUUAGCAAUUAAGUCCACAAAAUACAGUAAUAUCAACAAUAAAGCCAAAUAAAAAUCACAUUAACAAGCUCGAAUUCUUGAACCCCGAACCAGAGAUUCUGGGUUUGAUCCCCAGUGGAGUCUCCAGAGCUAUCACACCUCCUUUUUUCCACCCGAGAGGGCAUAUAUGGGAGUUUUUCCAGUUAAAGUGACAUUAAUCGAGAUGGGAUUAUUUAGUUUAUUAGAGUCGCCACUUGGAAUAAUUUAUUUGGUGUCUCAAGUCACUGGUUUGUUUUGAAUCCCAAAUCAAGGAAGUUUCAAGUUUAUUUAAAGUCUGAGAACCAGAAAUUCUAAGUAAGGAAUUCUGUUAAUCCGGGAGAAGGCGUUAGGCAUUCCCGGGUUCUGUAGUUCUAGCACAGUCGCUUAGUGAUUAUUACUUGGCUUAAAUUGUUUAACUACUUAUUUUUAGGACCUAUGUACAUUUAUCUUUUGACCGCUUUUAAUCACUUGAUUCAUUCGUAAUUAAAGAAUUAAGUUACGCGUACGUAUACUCUUUUCUUUUGGCGCAUCAAAAAUCAUGUCACGCGAACGUGUCCACAAUUAAUAAUGCUUUGUUUAUUUUAUUAAGAAGAGUUUCGUUGAAGUUGCACGAACGCACCCUCGAGUUACUUUUUUUAGAAUUAAAUUCGCAAAUAUGUUACGCGAACAUAUGCAUAAGCACAAUAAUAGUCUGAGUCGAGCCUAAAACAAACUACAAGUGUUUAAGGUUAUUUUAACAUCUAAAUUGUAAUACCAAUAUGAGGGCCAUAGAUGAUUUAAUUAGGAUGGCACACCUCAACCAUUUAAAAGAAUUACACUUAAUGAGGCCUAAGGAUAUUCUUACUUACAACUAUUUUGGAUUUAAAACUAUUGAUUAUGGGUAAGGAAAUAUAAAGCAGCCUGUUAUAUUUUUUUUUUGAAAAAGAACUGGGCCAGUAGCAGGCCCAGUAUACUAUCAAAACAGGCAUUAAAGAAAAAGGGAGUGAAGCCAUCACCAACUGGGCUCCAAAAUUAAGCCCAGACGUGGGACCAAGGGACAAAACUGAAUAUUAGGGGUCCAAUUUGACUAGGAGUCAUGAUUUGGGCCAUCUGCAAGCCUAAUUGCAUUAUUCAGAAUAAACUAUUUAUGAAGAAAAGAUAUGUUGAUGAGGAUUUGGCUCAAAUUUGAGCCUAAAAGAGAGAAACAUGAAUAACUAGAAGUCAACGAGCCUGGCCAUGAUCCAGGCAAUCUCAUUUGGGCCGGAUCCAACCCCAAACUUAGGCACGAAUGCAUCAAACAUUAAGGCCCCACUGAGGCCCACUGACUACAAUGCACAUAUAGCAACAACAUAAUAUGCAGAUUAUGAAAAUUACAACACCAAACAGACUAUGUUAUAAACCUUAAAAUUAUUAUAUUGCUACUAAUGCUAACAACAUGAAAUUGAACUAUGAAACUACUCAUUAACUAUACUACUACAUAUAAACUUGUUCUAUCAAAGUUACAAUUUUGAAAAAUAUACACAUGCUAGGUACAGUGUUUCAAACAUAUGUGAGCCAGCAUUUUUUAUUACAAACAAAUUAUUAGAAACCUAUACUAACUUGAAAUUUUACAUAUUUCAGAACAACCAAACUAGCAGACCUUCAGCAUAUAACAUUUCCUACUAGACAAAUAGCCAUCCAAACACAUCCAAACCACAUCAAUACUACAGAAGACUAAAACUAAUAAAGGUACUGAGAAAACAUGGGAAUAAAAUUAAAAGGGGCGCAUUUCAUUAGAUCUUCAAUUUUCAGCUACAUAUUGCCAAUAGAACGACAGGCUUGCACUUCAAAGAUCAUGUAAAGUCCAAAAAAUACCUGGAUAUUGAAACAAAGCAAAAAGGAAAUGAUAAGUUCAACAAGCAAAGAAGUAUGAGUAAAUCAGCAGCUCAACAGCAAUAUUCAGCUCCUUAGAUCAAUCUUAAACCCAGAAAAACAGAAGUCCUUCGAAAACUUUUAUGUUCUUACUAACAGGGACAAAACAAGGAACAAUUCUCAACCAUUUUCAACCAAAUAAUGUCGAAACUUUAAGUAUUUUUUAGGGUUUGAAUUUCUGAUGUUUCUUUUCAGAACUUUUAGGCAGAAGAUGAUGUUGAAUGUGUGUGUGUGAGUGAGGGAAUGUUUCCCUUUUAUAGAGUGUACAAAAAGGCAUCAAAAAAGCAUAUUCUAACCUAAAAUUCUGAACUUUCAGGAUAGUACAGCAUCUUUUUACAGCUGCUUGUCCUUUUCCUACCCAAUUUCAUCAUCUUUUGCAACAGCUAGGACAGUUGUGCACCUUCUAGAAACUUCUCCUAUUUUCAUACCCUUUUUACUUCUGAAAUUUUACCAUUUACCCAGAAGUUCUGACUUAAUACCUUUUCUUAUUUUAAUUUGAUCCCUUAUCUUAAAUCAAGAAGCUUCUCAUCUAAAAAUCCUACUUCAUAUUUCCAAAUUAACCUGCUAAGUUUUUAAUUGCUCAAUUAAGACCCUAGGAGUUUUUUACCAAUUACAAAUCCUUAACAGACAAAAUCAAAUGGGCAACUAUCAGUAUUUGAAGCAAACAAUCAAAGUUAAAAGGGAAAACAUCUGAAAAUUUUGAAAAAUAAACCUAAUCUCUAAACUGAACCAAAUUCAUAAGAAAAACUUUACAAAGCUUAACAGACUAUUAGUUUAAUGAUGAGCAUGGGCAGACGGGUUAAACAAACAAACAAACAACUUGAAUAACAUUGAACUUAAACUAAUAAUGCACUAAUUAAAACAAAUAACUAACAAUUUAUGCUAAUCAUGCCGUCAGAGAAAACCAAAAGGGAAUUAACAACUUAUUCAAGACUUAGGAUAAAUUGAUCAAUGAAUUGAAACUAAAAUAAUUACUCCCCAACCAAAUAAUUUUGAAUGUGACCAAUGAUUGAAACAGGGAUGACUAUAAAAAAAAUGAAGGCCAAACAGACUUAUAAACUGAAAAUUACCUAAAAGAAAACUGACUCGAAUUUUGAGGAAAAGAGAAGGAAAAUGGAGAGGUAAAUGAAACCUUACCAACUAAGGAGUAGAAAUUAAACAAAGCAGCUACUGAGGUCCGUCUCCAACUCGAUUGACCAACAGAGGUCUUCUCUUUCAGGGUAUUCAGUCUUGCAUGGCUUUGACCGGAUCUCCUUGAAAGAGAAGACUUCUAGUAGUCUAAAUUUUGAAGGAAAACAAUAAGGAGCUUGGAUUCGAACAAAACAGAGACCCCUUCUUAGAUUUGCAAUUCCGGAGUUUUGAAGGGUUAUUUGGAAAAAUCAGUGAGGUAUUUAGGAAGAGGAGGGUACAGGGGUGGCCUGGUGAAACUUUGGGUCGAUUUGGAAGGAUUAGGGUUUUUAGGCACCGAUCUUAGAUUUAAGAUUCGAGAUGUUUGGUGAUGAUUCGAAGAAACUGGGUUAGAGAUUUGGAAAGGGGAGAUGACGGGGGUUAACUAGUGAGAAUUUAGGGCCAUUUGGAGAAGUUCCACCGCCGUGAGGCGAUUUCCGGCGGCGGAGGCGAUGGGGGAAAUUGGGGCGGCUAUGGUUUCUUUAGUUUUGGUGUUAGAGACAACUGAGUGGUUUUGAAUGGGGGGAGAGUGUUUCGGAUAGUUAUAUAAUUAAUGGGCGGUGAGUUCGGAGCCGUUGGAUCAUAAAGAUCCAAUGGUCGUGAUUGAGGGGGAACAAAACGGGGUCGUUUUGGGUUAGUAGGGUCUGGACCGGGUUCCCUGGGUUUUGGGCCUGGGGUAAGGACAGAUUUUGGAUUGGUUUUGGCUUUAAAUGGCCCAAAUUCUGAAUUUAAGACCCCCUUUUCAAUUAACCCCUUAUUUCCUUUUUUUCUUUUUUCUUCUUUUUUUAACUAAAAAUCCUAAAUUUAAAAAUUCUAAAUUAAUCUAAAUUGCAAAAUUAAACUAAUUAUCUAAUUAUCAAAAUUACAAAAAUUAUUUAAUCCUACAUUAAAAGAGAAAGAUCACUAAUCUAAAAAUUAAAAGGUAAAAUAUGUAAAAAUGGGUCAUUUUUGUAAUUUAUAUUUUUAAUGAAAUAAAUAAUUAACUAAUUAAUCCUAAAAAUAUUUUUUUUAAAAAAACUAAAUGCAAUGCAUGGUAUUUUUGGCAUUUUCAUGAUUUUAAUAAGAAUUAAACGUGCACAAAAAUGCAAACAAUUAACAAAAACUCCUACGAAAUUCAUAUAAGAUGGCAAAUAAUUGGAAAAAGUCUAUUUUCUUGGAUUUUUUAGGAGUAAUUCAUAUAGGGCAAAAAUCGCAUGCUCACAACUAUAAUUGUGUUUUUCUUCCUUAUUGUACAUUAUUUGCAAUUUAAGCCUACUGCUAGUUUAUGGAAGCAUGUCUAAGUGACUUAAUUGUUUUACUUGUUCAAACUGCUUUAUUUGAAUUUUGUGCAGCAUGCUAGGUUAGAAAUACCUGUUUUACCUUGGUAUGAAAUUGGAUUGAAUUGAAUACUCUUUAUGUUGCUGUUGUGUGUUUACUUUGGGACUACGGGACGAUAUCCCAGGAGAUCCCCCGGCUUGUUUACUUUGGGACUAUGGAUCGGUAUUCCGGUAGAUCCCCCUGCACAUUUAUGAUUGGGACUACGGGACAGCACCCGGUAGAUUUCCCGUACUGGAUAUUUACUUUGGGACUACGAAUUUGGUAUUCCGGGAGAUUUCCUUGCACAUUUACGAUUUGGACUGCUGGACGAUAUCCCAGGAGAUCCUCUAGACAUUUACUUUUGGGACUACGAGAUGGUAUCCCGGGAGAUCCCCUGUUGCUAUUUCUGUGUACUGAGUUAGAUUCUUUCUGUGUUUUUAUUUGUUAUAGACUGUUAGCACUUUAAAUAUAUUGUCGUAUUCUAUACUAUUUGACCUUAUUUUUAAUCUAUAAUCAGUAGGGCCCUGACUUUCCUUGUCACUAGCUGACCGAGGUUAGGCUUGGCACUUACUUAGUACUGCUGUGGUGUACUCAUGCCCUUUCUGCGCAUGUUUUUCAUGUGCAGAUCCAGGUUCUUCGGCCUAGCUCUACCAUCCUUGAGGCGAGGCAAUUCUUCAGAGACUUCGAUGUAUAUCUGUCGCGUCCGCAGACCAAGGAGUCCCUCUCCAUUCUCUCUUGUAGUUUUAGCCCUUCUAUAUUUACUUUGAUGUAGACAUUCUGGAGUUAGAUCACUGUGUAGUAUCCAUAGCUUGUGAUUUUAUGAGGUUCCGGAUUUUGGGAGUUAUUUUAGUUUGAGAGUUGGUAUUGUAUAUGCCAAGCGGCAUCUUAAACGCUUUAGUUAUGUUUAUUUAGCAGUUUUUGGCUAGUUUUUUAUCUUUCGUUUUCUUGUUCCGCAAAUCGUUAAGCUUACCUAGUCAUAGAGACUAGGUGCCGUCACGACAGUUCACGGAGGGCGAACUUGGGUCGUGACAAGUUGGUAUCAGAGCUCUAGGUUUAUAGGAGUCAUGAAUCACAAGCCGGUUUAUUAGAGUCUUGCGGAUUGGUGCAGAGACGUCUAUACUUAUCUAUGGGAGGCUAUGUAACUAUUAGGAAAAUUCCAUUUUAUUUGAUUUCCUUGUCGUGCGAGAUUUUUGAUAUCACAAUUCUAAGCUUCUGUCUUUUAUUCUCUCACAGAUGGUGAGCACACGUCAUACCGGAGAUGAUCAAGCACUCGCGCCCCCUGCUAGAGUCGUUAGAGGCUGAGGCUGGGGUAGAGGCCGAGGACGCGCCCGUGGUGCAUCCAGAGCACCCGUGCGAGUUGCCACAGAGGAGCCACCAAAUAGAUCCACUCAGGGUCUAGGCACCUGAUACGCCUACUGCUACUACUAUUCCAGCUCUUCAGGAGACUCUUGAAUAGUUCGUGAGCAUGUACACCACUCUAGCUCAGGCAGGGCUGAUUCUCCUUGCUGCAGCCACAUCCCAGGCCGGGGGAGGAGCAUAGACACCAACCGUCGGCACUCCUAAGUAGCAGGUCUAGGUUGAUCAGAUCCCAAAGGUUAUACUAGCACCGCUUGCAGUACCAGAUCAGCCCGAGGAUAGGGCGGCGGCUUCAGAGGAUGAACAGCGGAGGCUUUAGAGGUUUAAGAAGUAUAAGCCUCCUAUAUUCAAUGGUUUAGCAUCAGAUGAAGCCCUGGGAUUUCUGGAGGAGUAUUACCGUAUCCUCCGCACUAUGGGUAUAUUAGGAUCGAGUAGGGUUUCUUUCACUGCCUUCCAGCUUUGAAGAGCCGCCUACCAGUGGUGGCGUACUUUUGAGUUGGACAGUCCAGUUGAGGUAGCAUCUCUUACUUAGACUCAGUUUUCAGAUAUGUUCCUGAGAGAGUUUGUCCCUCAGAGCCUCAGGGACGCCUGGUGCAUGGAGUUUAAGCAUCUGUGCCAGGAACCAUGACUAUUUUGGAGUAUGUUGUCCAUUUCACUGACUUGGCUAGGCAUGCACCAGCCUUGGUUGCUACAGUUCGUGAGAGGGUUCGUCGGUUUAUUGAGGGACUCAUUCCCAGCAUCAGGUCUAGCAUGGAUCGCAAGUUGGAGAUGGAUAUUUCUUAUUAGCAGGUGGUCAGCAUUGCUAGGAGAGUGGAGGGUAUGCAUGCUCGGAAUAGAGAGGAGAGGGAGGCCAAGAGGUCUCGAGAGUUAGGCCAUUAUUCUGGUGCCCGUGCUCCAGCUCCAGUUCGUCAUGGUAGGGAUUAUAUGAGUCGCCCUAUUCAUUUAGUUCUUCUAGAAGCUAGGUAUUCCAGCUCCUCCUAGACCUCAGGAGCCUUAUUAUGCACCUCCAGUACCUAGUGCGCCUCUUACACGAGGUGCUUUCAGUAGUUAGUCCAGCAGACCUGGCCCAAGCCAGUCACAGUUGCCAUGUCCUCCCAAAGCUUAUUUUGAGUGUGGUGACACACUCCAUAUGGUGAGGGAUUGCCCUAGACUUAGGAGGGGUGCACCUCCACAGACUCCUCAACUGUAGUGUGCCCCACAGAGUUCCCAGGCUAUGGUUCCAGCAUCAGUUACUACCCCACCUACUCAGCCAACUAGAGUUGGAGGUUAGGGAGGUAGAAGUCACCCUAGNNNNNNNNNNNNNNNNNNNNNNNNNUCUUACUUUGCCCCGUAUUUGGGCGUACCUCAAGAUAUUUUGAGCUCCCCUAUUUAUGUUUCUACUCCUGUGGAGGAUUCUCUUGUUGUAGACCGCAUUUAGCGGUCGUGUUUGGUUGGUCUUAGUGGUUUUGAGACCUGAGCCGAUUUAUUAUUGCUCAGCAUGGUAGAUAUCGAUGCUAUUCUUGAUUGUCACACCAAAAAUGUGACGUUGUCUAUGCCAGGUGUACUGCAAGUAGAGUGGAGGGGUACUUUAGAUCACACUUCUAGUAGAGUUAUUUCUUUCCUUAAAGCUCAGUGAAUGGUUGAGAAGGGGUGUAACGUGUAUCUGGCAUAUGUGAGAGAUGUUAGUAUUGAUGCCCCUACAGUUGAUUCAGUCCUAGUAGUACCAGACUUCCCUAAUAUUUUUCUAGCUGAUCUUCCGGGUAUGCCACCCGACAGAGAUAUUGAUUUCGGCAUUUAUUUGUUGUCGGGAACUCAACCUAUUUCUAUUCCUCCUUAUCGUAUGGCUCAUCCUAAGUUGAAGGAAUUGAAGGAGCAGUUGCAGGAUUUGCUUGACAAAGGUUUUAUUCAUCCCAGUGUAUCACCUUGGGGUGCUCUUGUCUUAUUUGUGAAGAAAAAGGAUGGUUCUAUGCGUAUGUGCAUUGAUUAUUGCCAGUUGAACAAGGUUACAGUGAAGAACCAGUAUCCUUUGCGUCGUAUUGAUGAUCUGUUUGACCAGUUACAUGGUGCAAGAGUGCUUUCUAAAAUUGAAUUGCGUUUAGGUUAUCUCUAGUUGAAGAUUCAGGAGUCGGAUAUCCCGAAGACUACUUUCAGGAGUUGGUAUGGUCACUACAAGUUCCUUGUUAUGUCAUUUGGGCUGACCAAUUCCCCAGAAGCCUUUAUGCAUUUGAAGCACAGUGUGUUCCAGUCAUAUCUUGACUCGUUCGUUAUUGUGUUUAUUGAUGAUAUUCUAGUGUAGUCCCGGAGUCGGGAAGAUCAUGAGUAGCACCUAAGGACAGUGCUUUAGACUUUGAGGGAAAAGAAGUUAUAUGUAAAGUUUUCGAAAUGUGAGUUUUGGUUGGAUUCCGUGGCAUUCUUGGGUCACGUGGUAUCGAGUGAGGGUAUACAGGUGGAUUCGAAGAAAGUAAAAGCAAUGUAGAGUUGGUCCAGACCAUCCUCAGCUAUAGAGAUCCGCAGUUUUCUUGGCUUCGCGGGUUAUUACCAUCAAUUUGUUGAGGGGUUUUCAUCUAUUGCAGCACCUAUGACCAUGCUGACCCAGAAGGGUGCUUCGUUCCAGUGGAUGGAAGAGUGUGAGGCAAGUUUCCAGAAGCUCAAGACAGCUUUGACUAUAGCCCCAGUUUUGAUAUUGCCUACAGGUUCGGGGUCUUAUACUAUCUAUUAUGAUACCUCGAGGAUUGUCCUUGGAGCAGUAUUAAUGCAGGACGGUAGGGUGAUUGCCUACGCAUCCAGGCAGUUGAAGGUACAUGAAAAGAAUUAUCAUAUCCAUGAUCUCAAGUUAGUUGCUAUUAUUCACACCUUGAAGAUCUGGCAUCAUUAUUUGUACGGUGUUCCUUGUGAGAUCUAUACUGAUCACCGGAGUUUACAAUAUCUGUUCAAGUAGAAGGACCUUAAUCUGCGCCAGAGGAGAUGGUUAGGGCUGCUGAAGGACUAUGAUAUCAUUAUCUUGUAUCACCCGGGAAAGGCCAAUGUGGUGGCCGAUGCUUUGAGUCGUCGGGCAGAGAAUUUGGGGAAUUUGGCUUAUCUACCAGCAGUGGAGAGGCCCAUGGCGAUGGAUGUUCAAGCCUUAGCCAGCCAGUUUGUGAGAUUGGAUCUUUCGGAGCCUAGUCGGGUUCUACCUUGCGUUGUCUAUCGGUCUUCCUUAUUUGAUCAUAUUAGGGAGUGUCAGUAUGAUGACCCUCAUUUACUUGUCCUCAAGGACAAGGUUCUGCACGGCGAUGCUAGAGAUGUGACUAUUGGUGAGGAUGGGGUAUUGAGGAUGUAGGGACGGGUAUGUGUACCUAAUGUUGAUGGACUUUGGGAGUUGAUUCUAGAUGAGGACCAUAGUUCGUGGUAUUCCAUCCAUUCGGGUGCCGCGAAGAUGUACCAGGAUUUGAGACAGCACUAUUGGUGUAGGCAGAUGAAGAAGGAUAUAGUUGGGUUUGUAGCUUGGUGCCUCAAUUGUCAGCAGGUAAAGUAUGAGCACUAGAGACCGGGUAGGUUGCUUCAGCAGAUAGAGAUUCCGGAGUGGAAGUGAGUGCGGAUCACCAUGGACAUUAUAGUUGGACUCCCACAGACUUUGAAGAAGUUCGAUGCCAUUUGGGUAAUUGUAGAUCAGCGGACCAAGUCCGCGCACUUCAUUCCUGUGUGUACCACCUAUUCUUCGGAGCGAUUGGUGGAGAUUUAUAUUCGAGAGAUUGUUCGUCUGCAUGGUAUUCCAGUUUCCAUCAUUUUAGAUAGAGGUACUUAGUUCACAUCACGGUUCUAGAGGGUCGUACAGCAUGAGUUGGGCACUCGGGUGGAGUUAAUCACAGCAUUUCACCCUCAGAUGGACAGACUAUCCGAGCGCACUAUUCAAAUUCUUGAGGAUAUGCUCUGUGCAUGUGUGAUGGAGUUUGGAGGUUCUUGGGAUUAGUUUUUGCCACUGGCUGAGUUUGCCUACAAUAACAGUUAUCAAUCCAGCAUUUAGAUGGCACCGUAUGAGGCUUUGUAUGGUAGGUAGUGUAGAUCCCCGAUGGGUUGGUUUGAGCCGGGUAAGGCUAGAUUAUUGGGCACAGACUUGGUUCGAGAUGCUUUGGAGAAGGUUAAGGUGAUUAAGGAUAGACUCCGUACAGCCUAGUCCAGACAGAAGAUUUAUGCGGACCAGAAGGUUCGUGAUGUUUCCUAUAAGGUUGGAGAGCGGGUCUUGCUUCGGGUUUCACCUAUGAAGGGCGUUAUGAGAUUUGGGAAGAAAGGGAAGUUGAGUCCGAGGUUUAUUGGUCCUUUUGAGAUAUUGAGACAUGUUGGAGAGGUUUCUUAUGAGCUUGCCUUACCUCCCAGCUUGGCAGGAGUUCAUAGUGUAUUUCAUGUUUUGAUGCUCCGGAAGUAUCACGGCGACCCGUCACACGUAGUGGAUUUCAGUUCAGUCCAGUUGGACAAGGAUCUAUCUUAUGUUGAGGAGCUGGUGGCAAUAUGGGACAGGCAGGUUUGGAAGCUGAGGGCAAAGAACAUUGCAUCGGUGAAGGUUCAGUUGCGGGGCCAGCCGGUCGAGGAGGCAACUUAGGAGACCGAGCAAGAUAUGCACAGUCGUUACUCUCAUCUUUUCACUACUUCAGGUAUGUCUCUAUGCUCAUUCGAGGAUGAACGAAUGUUUUAAGAGGGGGAGGAUGUAACGACCCGGCCGAUCGUUUUAAAAAUUUACACCCUGAUCCCCUAUUAACUACAUUCCCCGUAUUUGUUUCUGCUAUUGUAAGUUGUCGGGAGGGUUCAUUUUGAAUUUGAAGUGUUUUAGGACACUUAAUCCCUAAAUGAGAGUUUUAGCUUUAGAAUUUUGGAUCAUAUUCGGAGCAGUGUGAAGACAGCCUUGGAAUGUAAUUCUGUUGGUUCCGUUGGGUGAUUUCGGGCUUAGAGGCAUGUUUAGAUUGUGUUUUUGAGGUCGUAGCGUAAUUAAGGUUAAAAUGCCGAAAGUUGAAUUUUUGAAGUUUCCGAUUCGAUAGUAAGAUUCUGAUAUCGGGGUCAGAAUAGAAUUUCGGAUGUUGGAGUAGGUCUGUCGUGUUAUUUGGGACGUGUGUGCAAAAUUUCAAGUCAUUCGGACGAGGUUUGAUAGACUUUAUGAUCGAAAGCGGAAGUUGGAAGUUUUGGGAAUCCUUAGGCUUGGAUUGGACAACGGUUUGUGGUUUUAGCAUUGUUUGAUGUGAUUCGAGGGUUGGAAUAAGUUCGUAUGAUGUUGUAGGAUUGGUUGGCAUGUUUGGUUGAGGUUCCGGAGACCUCGGGUGAGUUUCCGGUGCUUAACAAAAAUUGAAUUGGACUUAGGAAAAUCUGAAGCUUGACUAAAGUUCUAUCAUAACUGCACCUGCGAUUAUGGGACCGCAGGUGCAUGAUUGCAGAAGCAAUAGAGGAGCCGCAGAUGCGGCCAGGCGCUUGGAAACCAGAAUCCACAGGUGCGAUAGGUUGAGCGCACCUACGAGACCGCAGGUGCGGUAGAAAAAGCGCAGGUGCGGUCCAAGUGCAUUAAGUGAAAACCGCAUAUGCGGUUGGUUAGACCGCAGAAGCGGCACCGCAUAAGCGAGAAAAUGGCCGCAGGUGCGAAAACCCUAGGCCAAAACCUAUAUAAGGUUUCUGUUGCAAUUUUUGCCUAUUCUUUCACCAUUUUUGUCCAAGAAUUGAGUUUUUUAGGAGGUUUGGAAAGAGGAUUCAAGGGAGCUUCAAGGAGGUAAGAUUUCUGGAACCAAAACUCGUUUAUAUGGUAUUAUUCUACUGAUUUGACAAGGAAUUUAUGGAAAAUGAGGGUUAAAAUUGGGGUUUAGGGUUUGAUAUUGGAGACUUGGAUUUGGGGACUUGAGGAGUCAUUUGUAGUCUGAUUUUCGUGUAUUUGGUAUGUAUGAACUCGUGAGAGUGUGAGGAUUCUAGUUUUGCAAAUUUUAUCCAAUUCUGAGACAUGGGCUUGGGGGACUUUUUGGGCAAUUUUCCCAAUUUCGUGUAUUAGCUUUGAAUUAAUGAGUUGAAUUAGUUGUUAGAAGUUAUAUUUACAUUAUACAAUUACUUUGAAUAGAUUUGGGCCAUUUGGAGUCAUGUACUCGUGGCAAGAACGUGAUUUCGAGUUGAUUGAGCUGGUUCGAGGUAAGUGGCUUGUUUAACCUUGUGUGGGGGAACUCCCCUUAGGAUUUGGUAUUGUUGAUAUAUGAAAUGCCUUGUACGUGAGGUGACGAGUGUGUACAUGUGCUAACUGUAGAAAAUCAUGUUUUCAUUUAGUAACUAUAAUUGUGUUUUUCUUCCUUGUUGGACAUUACUUGCAAUUUAAGCCUACUGUUAGUUUAGGAAAGCAAGUCUAAGUGACUUAAUUGCUUUACUUGUUCAAACUGCUUUAUUUGAAUUAAGUGCAGCAUGUUAGGUUAGAAAUAUCUGUUUUGCCUUGGUAUAAAAUUGGAUUGAAUUGAAUAUUCUUCGUGUUGCUGUUGUGUGUUUUCUUUGGGACUACGGGACGCUAUCCCGGGAGAUCCUCCUGCUUGUUAACUUUGGGACUACGGAUCGGUAUUCCGGUAGAUCCCCCUGCACAUUUAUGAUUGGGACUAUGGGAUAUCACCUGGUAGAUUCCCCGUACUGGAUAUUUACUUUGGGACUACGGAUUUGGUAUUUCGGGAAUUUCCCUUGCACAUUUACGAUUUGGAUUGCGGGAAGAUAUCUCGGGAGAUCCUCUAGACAUUUACGUUUGGAACGAUAGGACGGUAUCCCAGGAGAUCCUCUGUUGCUAUUUCUGUGUAGUGAGUUAGAUUCUUUGUAUGUUUUUAUUCGUUAUAGACUCUUAGCACUUUAAAUAUAUUGUCGUAUUCUAUACUGUUUUACCUUGUUUUUCAUAUAUAAUCAGUAGGGGCCUGGCUUUCCUCGUCACUACUCAAGCGAGGUUAGGCUUGGCACUUACUGAGUACCGUUGUGGUGUACUCAUGCCCUUUCUGCGCAUGUUUUUCAUGUGUAGAUCCAGGUUCUUCGGCCCAGCCCUACCAUCCUUGAUGCGAGGCAAUUCUUCAGAGAUUUCGAGGUAUAUCUGUCGUGUCCGCAGACCGAGGAGCCUCUCCAUUCUUUCUUAUAGUUAUAGCCCUUCUGUAUUUACUUUGAUGUAUAUAUUCUGGAGUUAGAGCACUAUGUAGUAUCCAUAGCUUGUGAUUUGAUGAGAUUUCAGGUUUUGGGAGUUGUUUUAGUUUGAGAGUUUGUAUUGUAUAUGCCGAGCGGCAUCUUAAACGCUUUAUUUAUGUUUAUCCGCAGUUUUUGGCUAGUUUUUUUAUCUUUCAUUUUGGUGCCACCACAACAGUUUACGGAAGGCGAACUUGGGUCGUGACAAGUGUAAAUAGAGAAACUAAGAUGUGUAGAAAGAAAUAUAACCAACUUAGUCUAUAAAAGAGACUAAGUCAGUUAUUACUGUACUAACUGAAAAUACGAGCUUAAGCUCAUUUCUUCGCUCUUCUUCUUCUCUCUGAACUUUGUACUCCAGAUAUGAGUAUGUGUUGCAUGUGUGAAUCGAGUAAAUAUUUGCUCAAUUAUAGCAAAUUGACAUGGUAUCAGAGCAGAAAUCGAUCAAUUUGAGUUGUUAUCCGUGCAAGAUCUGAGAAAUUAGUUAAGUUCAAAGCUCACAAAAUUGCAACAAUGGUGGAUGAUGAAAUUGGACACCUUCUUCAUAAUUAUCCACUAUACCUUAAGGAUUCAGACUCGCCGGGAAUAGCGUUGAUAACUCUCAAACUCACAGGGCCAGAAAAUUAUGCUCUUUGGAGUAGAUCUAUGAGAGUAGCUCUCCUAGUGAAGAACAACUUCGGGUUUGUGGAUGGAACCUGUGUCAAAGCUUCAUACAGAGGUGAAUUAGCGGCGCAAUUGGAAAGGUGUAAUGUAGUGAUCUUCUCAUGGCUUAGUAGAACUAUAGCGGCAGAGUUGGUGCAAAGCAUCAUGUACGCAUCAAGUGCGAGAAAAAUCUAGGACGAGUUCAAGGAAAGGUUUGACAAAGAUGACCUAACCAAAAUUUAUCAAAUUUCUACUGACAUUUCAGCCCUAAAGCAAGGUACAGAAUCUGUGACCUCUUACUUCUUGAAAUUGAAAAACCUAUGGAAUGAAUUAGACAUCUUAGUACCUCUACCCUCAUGUAAUUGUGAAGAAUCACGCCCAUAUGUAGAUCACUUAGUAAGACAAAGGCUUCUACAGUUCUUAAUGGGACUGAAUGAGAGUUAUAGUCAUAUGAGGAGUGCAGUGUUACUGAAGAGGCCGGUCCUUACUGUAAACCAAGCUUAUGCAGUUGUAGUGUAGGAGGAAAGUCAGAGGGAAUUAGGAGUAGUUGACACAAAUAGGGAGCCAAUGACUAUGUUAGCAGGAAAAGGAAAUCAGUUCCUAAAAGGAAAGAAGCCAGGUCUUGUCUGUGAACAUUGUGGGUACAAAGGGCAUUUGAAGGAAAAUUGCUCCAAAAUUAUUGGGUACCCUGCAGACUUCAAAAGCAAGAAGAAAGAUCAACUUCCUGCUAAAUCUUAUGCUAACAAUGUCAAUGGAGAAAAGGAAGUGACAAUAAACAAUCAACCAUAAGGGAACUACAUGACUGAGGAUCAGUACAAGCAUCUAGUGAGCCUGUUGACAAAAUCAUCUAUGAAAGAGAGUUCUAACAACACAUCAAGCUCAGCAAACAUGACAGGUAUAAAGUCAUUGCCAUCUAAUGCACGAUCAUAUGAUUGGAUAGUAUAUUUAGGAGCAUCACACCAUAUUACUUUUUGCAAAGAGGUUUUAGAAAAAUUAUGGAGAAUCAAUAAAGGAAAUAGUAGAGGAGUUCAAAUGCCCAUAGGAGGUAGAUCAGAAAUAGUACACACACAGGAGAUGCAACAAUACUAGGAUGGCAGAAGAUUAGGAAUGUUUUACAUGUGCUUGACUUUAAGUUCAAUCUCAUUUCAGAAUCCAAGCUAACUAGAGAUUUAUGUUGUUCAACUUGCUUCUACCCUAAUUUUUUGUGUGUUUCAGGAACUUUACAAUGGUAGGGUACUGGUGAUUUGUAGAGAAGAUGAAGGGUUGUACAUAAUUAGGAGUGAAGAGGAUGAAGUAGUAGCUCGAUCAGUCAAGAAGGAAGAAAUAAGUGCAGCAUUGUGGCACCAAAGGAUGGGGCAUGCCUUCAUAGGUUCUUUACAAUGUUUUCCAGAUUUGAAGAAUAAAGUGAAUCAAGAUAUAUAGAAGAAUUGUGAGAUUUGCCUAUUAGCCAAACAGAGUAGACUAAAGUUUCCUAUUAGUAGUCAUUAAUCUGAUUACAUUUUUCAACUUGUGCAUAUAGAUGUCUGGGGACCAUACAAAGUUGCUACUUAUGACAAAAGGCAUUAUUUUCUAACCAUAGUAGAUGACUAUAGUAGGUAUACUUGGAUUUGUUUGCUACAAUCUAAAUGUGAAGUAAUAGUAGUGUUGCAGGAAUUCUUUUUUUUUUUGGAGAAUCAGUUUAAUGCAGUUGUAAAAGUGCUGAGAUCUGAUAAUGGUAAAGAAUUUUCAAUAAAAACUGCAAUGAUUCGCUUUCAUCCUUGGGUAUAAUACACCAAAGUAGUUGUCCCUAUACUCCACAAUAAAAUAGAGUAGUAGAGAGAAAACAUAGAACCAUAUUGGAGGUGGAAAGGGCAUUGAAAUUUCAAAGCAACAUACCUGCUAGGUUUUGGGGAGACUGUGUCAAAACUGCAGUUUACCUAAUCAAUAAGUUGCCCACAAUAGUGCUGAAUGGAAAAUACCCAUAUGAAAAGCUCUAUGGGAAACCACCAAAAAUAAAUCAUCUUAGAGUAUUUCGGUGUCUAUGUUAUGCCAGCACAUUGCAAGAGGAGAUAAAGUUGCAACCAUGGCAAUGAAAUCAAUGUUCAUUGGUUAUUCAGAAGUGUAGAAGGGAUAUAGGUUAUAUGAUCUAGAAUCCAAUAGAUCUUGUGAGCAGGGAUGUGAAUUUCAGAGAAGAUAUCUUUCCUUUCAAGGUCCUGCCUAAUCAACUUGAAAAUUUAUUCAUGCCUGAUACUGAUUGCUCAAUAAUUACAAGGAAUCAGCCUACUUCAACACCUGUAGCAGAUGAUGAUCUAGGAAUAGCUUCUCAGAAUAGAACUGAAGUUAAAGCUGACAACUCCAGCCCCUAUGUAGCACCAGAUAUGCCACUAGAUGUGACAGUAAAUGAUAUGGAGGAACUUGGUUCAGGUGAAAGCAAUGAAAAAAAUUCCCCACCCAACAGGAACAUGAAGAGUUUAUACUUGAUCAAGUGCCAACAGUUGUGCAACAACCUACAGGGAUUAGAAAAUCCAAAAGAACAACAAAACCAACAGUGUAGCUCAAAGAUUAUGGUACUACAAGCAAACUAAAAGGAGAUAGUCUUUAUUCAGUUUCAAAUUAAGUGAGCUAUGGUCAUCUCUCAGAACACUACCAAUGUUACCUGGGUUCAUUCUCAGCUCAGAUAGAACCAAAGUCUUUUCAGGAAGCAGCCCAAGAUGAUAUGUGGAUAGAAGCAUGAAGCAAGAGAUUUUGGCACUUGAAGAAAAUAAGACAUGGGAGAUAGUGGAUCUUCCUCCAAGAAAAUAAAGUAUUGGCUCAAAAUGGGUAUACAAAAUCAAACACAAAGCCAAUGGUGAAGUAGAGAGAUUCAAAACCAGGCUUGUUGCAAAAGGAUAUACACAACAUGAAGGGUUAGACUAUAAUGAAACAUUUUCACCUGUUGCCAAGAUGGUAACAGCUAGAAUUGUGAUAAACCUAGCAGUCUCUAAAGGUUGGGUUUUAUCUCAAAUGAAUGUCAACAAUGCCUUCCUACAAGGGGAUUUGUAUGAGGAGGUUUACAUGGACUUGCCUUAGGGAUUCCAUAGGCAGGGGGAGUCUAAGGUUUGCAGACUACUUAAGUCUCUUUAUUGUCUCAAACAGGCAUCGAGAUAGUGAAACAUUAAGUUGACUGAUGCACUGAUAAGUGAAGGGUAUUCUCAAAGUGCCUAUGAUCAUUCCCUGUUCACAAAGAAGAUAAAUGCAGACCUAGUGAUCAUCCUUGUGUAGAUGAUCUAUUGAUUACUGGCAGCAACAACACAUUGGUAGAAGAAGCAAAAGCAACCCUACACAAACAUUUCAAGUUGAAAGAUCUAGGUGAACUUAGAUACUUCCUGGGAAUUGAGCUCAUGAGGUCAACAACAAGAGUUGUACUUAAUCAAAGGAAGCAUGGUCUUCAGCUAAUUUCAGAAGUUGGGUUAAGUGGGGCAAAGCCAGCUAGCUCACCCUUGGAACAAAACCACAAGUUGACAACUAUUGAAUAUGAUACACAUAUAGAAAUUAAGGAAGAUGAGGAAUUUCAAGACAUUGUAAGCUAUCAAAAACUAAUAGGGGAACUCAUUUACCUCACUAUUACCAGACCAGACAUAUGUUUUGCCGUCCAAGUUUUAAGUUAAUUCAUGCAACAUCCAAAGCAAUCACAUUUAGAUGCUGCAUUAAGGGUUAUGAGAUACAUUAAAGGAUCACCAGGGAUGGGAAUAUUAUUGAAGAGAGGAUCAUUAAAAGAUGUUGCAUCCUAUUGUGAUGCAGACUGGGCAGCCUGCCCAAAUACAAAGAGGUCUGUAACCGGAUAUAUGAUGACGCUAGGAGAGUCAUUGAUCUCAUGGAAAUCCAAGAAGCAGCCAACUGUGAGCAGGAGCUCUAUUGAGGCUGAAUAUAGAAGCAUGGUAGUAGUGACUUUAGAGUUGGUAUGGUUGGUAGGAUUACUGAAGGAGUUAGGAUUAAUUGUGAAGGAGCCAGUAAUGCUAAAUUGUGACAGCAAAACAGCUAUGCAAAUAGCAGCUAAUCCAGUUUAUCAUGAGAGAAUAAAGCAGAUACAGAUUGACUGUCAUUUUGUGAGAUAAAUAAUUAAAGAUGGUCUGAUCACACCUCAGUACAUUUCCACUAAAGAACAGCUCACAGAUGUGAUGACUAAAAGAUUGGGAGCUGAGCAGCAUAAAGUCUUAAUAUCCAAGCUAGGAUUGUUCAAUGUCUUUCACCCUCCAACUUGAGGGGGAGUGUGAAAAUAACAAGUUAGUUGUUAGGUUGUUAUUAGGACUGAAGUAUAAAUAGAGAAACUAAGAAGUAUAGAAAGAAAUAUAACCAACCUAGUCUAUAAAAGAGACUAAGUCGGUUAUUACUAUACUAACUGAAAAUACGAGCUUAAGCUCAUUUCUUCUCUCUUCUUCUUCGCUUUGAACUCUGUACUCAAGAUCUGAGUAUGUGUUGCAUGCGUGAAUCGAGUAAAUAUUUGCUCAAUUAGAGCAAAUUGACACUAUCCAUCAAUUAGUUGCAACUAUAUUCACAAUUUUGCAGUUUAGAAUUAUUCCUUUAGUUAUUAAAAAGGGAAUUUUACUUCAAAUAACUUAGUCCCUUUUAGUGACAUGCUGAAAACCAAAAGAACAAAAUAUCAGAAAUUCCGGAGCAAUAGAACCAAAAUACAACAUCCAUAUAUAAAAGAGGACACAAUGUUGGCGGGUCACUUUGUAUGUGUUGUCCGGAAAGUGGAAAUAAAAUUAGGAAAAAAAAAUAUUAAGCAGAAUACAAUUUUGCCGAGAAUAGGAUAAUGAUAAACUCUCAGGAAAAAAUCAAAAAUAUUAUCUUCUAGUUGAGCUUAGCAGAACAAAUUGCAGAGAAUAGGAUCGAUAAUGAUAAAGAAAGUUAGUGCAAGAUUGAAGUUUAGCUUUUUACAGUUUUUGCCGAGAAAAUUUCCAGCGAAAAGGUUGUCGAUGAUCCAGUAGUAGCACCAACGGCGGUUUUCAUAUUGUCAAGUUCGGCGGCAAGCCUAUAAGAUAACCGGAGACUCGAGAAUGUUAGCUUUCCAUAAGGACCGUUCAGGCAGUCUUUUCUUCCUCAUCAUGGAAGAAAUAAGAGGAAUAGAAAAAGACAUGAUGUUUGGAGGUAGAGUGAGAAAUAGGCGUUUCUUUUGAAGAGAGAGAAACAACACAUAGAAUAACAAAAGGCAAAAAUCUGAGAAAAUUGCAAAAUAGAUUUACUAGCAAGUGAGAACCGCC
rnacentral:lncRNA from 1 species